GUGCCAGCAGCCGCGGUAAUACGUAGGGGGCAAGCGUUGUCCGGAAUUAUUGGGCGUAAAGCGCGCGCAGGCGGUCGAUUAAGUCUGGUGUAUAAACCAAGGGCUCAACCUUUGGUCGCAUUGGAAACUGGUCGACUGGAGUGUAGGAGAGGAAAGUGGAAUUCCACGUGUAGCGGUGAAAUGCGUAGAGAUGUGGAGGAACACCAGUGGCGAAGGCGACUUUCUGGCCUAUAGCUGACGCUGAGGCGCGAAAGCGUGGGGAGCAAACAGGAUUAGAUACCCUAGUAGUCC
rnacentral:rRNA from 1 species